AGUUAAAAAUUGCUCAGGAUUCCAAGGAAUCUAUGGAGGAGGCUCAGCAGCAGCUGGAUGGCAGAGGCCCGGCUGCUACAGGAAGGUGAAAUAAGACAGAAGAAAAGGGUUAGAACUUUAGAACUCCAGGACCCAACCUCAGUCCUUUCAAGCACCGUCUGCAAACAGAUGCUGUGCUAGACUCAGCACCCUGUCUGGUGAAACUGCUCCUUGGGGUGACAUCGGUCGAAUGUGUGAGAGGCUUCAGCGGAUGCCCUGACUUUUACACCAUGGAAGGGCUUUCUCCUCACUCUCCAUUCUUCAUCCCACUCCAUCCAUGCGCUUUCUCCCCUCCCCAUGGGGUGGGGUGGGGGAGUCUUUCCUCCAGCUGAGAGCAGAGGCCUUGGCCAACUAGAUGUGUCUUCUGGGAUUUCACAGUCGGGCCACCUCUCACCUCUUGCACAGGCUGGUGGGUUAAAUGAAACUCCUGUAGCAACUCACAGAGCAUUUGAUUUAAAGCUAAGAUUUAUAGGAACUCACAAGUCAGAAUGGAACAAUAAUUUCCCUCCGGUUGCACUGCCACUACUGAGGAGCAAUCGCCUAAUUCCACACAGAGUUUGCUGAUUCUGUGGGCCUAACAGAGAACUCCAGAUGGGCAACUAGGAGCUAAGAAGUGCAUCCUAUGUCACCAGGAGCUAAUUUUCCCUGGAUUUUCAAAGAGGCCUCAUAUUUGACCCAUGUCAUGGCAGGGUGAAAUAUAAGUCCUUCCUGAACCCUUGGAAGCUGAACGUUGUGGACAUCAGCCAUGGGAAAUACAUUUCCUUUAAACUGAUCACCAGGCCUUAGUAUGAUCCAUGCCUUGAGUGGACAGAGACCUUUCAUGUUUGGUCAUUACUCAGCCAGACACUUCUCUGAGAGGUGAUGACUUCCCUAGGAAGGAAUAACAAAGCCCCUUUCAGGCUGUUGAUGGGCCCUGUCCACUUUAAUUUUGCAUUCAGCCUCGCUCAUUUCUGUGAGCUGAGAUUUUGAUUAUUCUGAUUUCCACGACUCCUUUUGUGAAACAGAGACACUGAGGUGAAUGCACGGGCCCAGUCCCCUCCUUUUUGAGUGUGCCCUCGGAAGCAGAGGCAGGUGGUGUUGCCGAAACACCCAGGUUCUGUCUAGGUCCUGCCGCUCCCUGCACAGAAAGCCAAUCACAGAGAUGACAAGUAUUGCCAAGGAAGAAGGCUUUAAUCAGGUGCUGUAGCUGAGAAGAUGGGAGCCCAGUCUCAAAUCCAUCUCCCCAUCCACCUAAAACUAGGGGUUUAUACACCAGGGAAGAAAGAUAACAGUGUGUAAGAAAACAGGAACUACGGAGGGGCAAGGAAGCAGUCACAAUGUAGGGUAUCUCAUUGUCUGGAUGUGUUGAUCUGUGAAAUAUGACAAACAGAGGAAAGUGCAUUAAAACCUGAGUGUUGACUGCUGGUUCCCCCAAGAUGGAGAGUCCCAUUCCUCCCAGACACUCCCUCUUACAGGUAAAAUAUCUGGACAUAACACAACAGACAGCAGAAGAAGACUCUGAAAGCUGGAGGAAGGAAGAAAAAAAGCCUAGGGACCUCAGACCUUGAAGAAUGACAGUGGAUUUCUCAUCUUGAAACCAUGGAGGCCAAAAGGAAGAGGCACAACAUUUUUCAAGUUGAAGAUAGAACUUAGAAUCACAAAUCCAAUAGCCACUGAAAACGCCCUUCAGGAAUGAAGGAGAAAUCAGACAUUCUCAGAUGAAAGAAAACUUAAGAGAACUUAUUGCCAACCUAGAAGAAAUGUGCUAAUGUCAAGAAAGCUACAAACUACCAAACUCAACGAGGAUGAUAGAGACAACCUGAAUAGUUCCAUAGCUGCUACAGAAAUUAAAGUUAUAAGCAAACGGCUCACAAAAAAGAAAUCUUCAGAUGAAAAUACUUUAAGGAGUAUUAAUACCAAUUUUACACACUCUAUCUCAGAAAGUAAAAGAAAGAACGUUUCCUGGCUCAUUGUAUAAGGCUAGUAUUACCCUGAUACCAAAAUCAGGAAAAUGCAGUACAGAAAAGAAAGUUAUAGACCACUAUCUCUAUAAAUUUAGACACAAAAUUUAUCAACAAAAUUUUGUAAACCUAAUACAGCAUCGUAUAUAAAAAAUUAUAUACACCAUGAUGAAGUGGGAUUUAUUCCAUAUAUGCAAGUUUGGUUCAAUAUUCCAGAAUCAGUCAAUGUAAUUUACUCUGUUAACCAGGUAAAGAAUAAAAAUGAUUAUAUCAUUUGAUGCAGAAAAAAAGAUUAACACAAUCCUAUGCCCAUUCACGGUAAAAAGUCUCAGCAGACUAGGAAUGGCGGGGAGUGGUGGGGACAAUCCUAAGUUGAGAAAGAGCAUCUAUUUAAAAACCUAGGCUGGGCACAGUAGCUCAUGCCUGUAGUCCCAACACUUUGAGAGGCUGAGAUGGGCGGAUUGCUUGAGCCCAGAAGUUCAAAACUAGCCUGGGCAACAUGGCAAAACCCCGUCUCUUCAAAAAAUACAAAAAUCAGGCUGGGCAAGGUGGCUCACACUUGUAAUCCCAACACUUUGGGAGGUGGAGGUGGGCAGAUCACUUGAGGUCAGGAGUUUCAGACCAGCCUGGCCAACAUGGUGAGACCUCGUCUCUAACAAACAAUACAAAAAUUAGCUGGGCAUGGUGGUG
rnacentral:lncRNA from 10 species